GCUUAGAGAGGGGUCAAUGUCCUAUCAGCUAGUUGGUAAGGUAAUGGCUUACCAAGGCUAAGACGGGUAGCCGGCCUGAGAGGGUGGUCGGCCACACUGGGACUGAGACACUGCCCAGACUCCUACGGGAGGCUGCAGUCGAGAAUCUUUCGCAAUGCCCGAAAGGGUGACGAAGCGACGCCGCGUGUGGGAAGAAGGCCUUCGGGUUGUAAACCACUGUCGGGAGUUAAGAAAUGUAAGGGUGUUAAUAGCAUCCUUACUUGACUAAGGCUCCGGAGGAAGCCACGGCUAACUCUGUGCCAGCAGCCGCGGUAAUACAGAGGCGGCAAGCGUUGUUCGGAAUUAUUGGGCGUAAAGAGCACGUAGGCGGCUUUGUAAGUCAGUUGUGAAAGCCUUCCGCUUAACGGAAGAACAGCAUCUGAUUCUGCAAGGCUAGAGUGCGGAAGGG
rnacentral:rRNA from 1 species